rnacentral:tRNA from 1 species
GCCUCGGUAGCUCAGAGGAAGAGCAGCUGGCUUUUAACCAGCGGGUCGAGAUUUCGAAAUUCUCCCGGGGUA